GAGCAACAUGGUGAAACCCCGUAACUAUAAAAAAUACAAAAAUUAGCCAGCUACUUGAGAGGCUGACGUAGGAGGUUCACUUGAGCCCGGGAGGCACAGGUUGCAAUGAGCCAAAAUGGCACUACUGAAUUCCAGCCUGGGCAACAGAGCCAGACAGAAUCUCAAAACAAAAAGAGGUAAAAUUUUAUAAACAACUUUCAAGUCUUUAGGUGAAAUAGAAACUAUUCCUUAUAGAGCACACAGGCACCGAAUCUUUGUUUUAUAUAAGCUUGUAUUCAAAAUAAACCGAUAUUCAUUACACUUACAUAUUUGAUAGUUACAAAUUAUAAUGUACAUUAUAGAUACUUGCACCUACAUAUGCACAUAAACUGGCUAUAACUUCUUUAAUAAUGAGAUUGCCUCCGUAGAGUAAAUGACACAAUAAAUGUUCAACUAUUUUGAAUGGUUGCUAUUUCCAUUUUAUGGUCAGUAAUAUGUCUUCAUUGUUUUGAAAAUGUAGGCAUUUGAAAUUAAGUAGUCUACAGCAUUCAUCUGUAGUAAGUGCUAAGUAUGUUAUACAUGAACAAAAACACUUAUAAAAGCAUCUUAUGCAUUCCUUUGAAACAGGUGAAAAAUAACAGACAUAACUUGCUUUAAAAAGUCAUAAAAUAGCUGCUUUUCUACUGAUAACAUUUUUGCUUUUAGCAUUUCAGAUGAGUAUUUUUCAUAUGGAGAAUUUAUAAAUGUACAGGAAACAUGUUCAUUUAACCAAUAUUUAUAGACCAACAUAAUUUUGUUUGCAUAAGUUGUAAUUUGUAAGAUACCAAUUAACAAUGCAAAGUUAUUACAACUAUCAAUGGCUUCUUCAUACUAAAGCAUUUAUAUUCAUGUUUGUUGAUUAGUUGCUAGUGCUAAAUUUUUUAUAUUCAUUUUGUUAAGUAUUUGACUACUCAAACUUAAGCAUUCUGGCCAGGAUUGUCUUGAGAAAACUUUGAAGUAUAUUCUUACCUUUUUACUCUGAUGAUGGUUUAGAUUCUGGAUAUCUGGAGAAUCUAACCAUUUUUGGAUAUAUGUGUUGCUAAACCACCUAUUUUAAAAUAAUACUAGUUGGAGCUAAAAUAGAGUUUUGAGGUUAAGAAACUUCAAAUCUAUGGUCUGAGUGCAGUGAUGUUUACACCUCACAACCAGUUACAGAUUUCUUUGUUCCUUCUGCAUUCCCACUGCUUCACUUAUCUAGACUUAUCUACAAAAAAGAUUGAAAGAAAUUUCAAAUCUAGAAGAGUAUCUGCUGUCAAAUAGCUGAUCAGACAUAAGCACAAGGGUAAAAUGAGCACACUAAAAGCCAUACAACGCCUAGUAAAUAAUGAAAUAGCAAAGAUAUCCAACUAACAAUCAAAGGUUUUGUAUACAUGUUUUUGUUCUAAUUCAUGAUUUGUGUAGUUUCUGAAACAAGCUGGCUGGAAGAAGGAGCUUUACUAAAUGGAGCAAAAGUUUAAGGUAACAGGUCUCAGAAGAUCUUUAAAUCUUAGAUGUGCACUGUAUGUUAAUACAAUGUUGAAAAGAAUACAAAAAGAAAAAAAUCAAAAUAAAAAUCUUUGAUGUGCAAGAACUACGUCAUGCUUUUCAACCUGGGCUGCAUAUAAGCAUAACCACAACAUGGUUACAAAAUACCCAAGCCCUUGCCCCAUCCUUAGAAACUCUGGUUCAGUUGUCUGCAGUGGGAACACAGACUGCUAUUUAUUAAAAAUAUGCUGGCCAGGUGUGUUGGCUCAUGCUUGUAAUCCCAACAGUUCUGGAGGCCAAGGCAGGAGGAUUGCUUGAGCCCAGGAGUUCAAGACCAGCCUGGGCAAUGUAGUGAGAGCCUAUCUACAUAAAAAAUACAAAAAUUAGCCAGGCAUGGCCAUUUGCACCUGUAGUUCCAGUCACUCAGGAGGCUAAGGCAAGAGGAUUGCUUGAGCCUGGGAGGUUGGGGUUGCAGUAAGCCAUGGUUGUGCCACUGCACUCCAGCCUAAGCAAUAGAGACAGACCCUAUCUCAAAAAAAAAAAAAAAAAAAGCCACACACACACACACACACACACACACACACACAAAGCAUUUAGGAAAUUCUAAUGUAUCAACAGGGCUGAGACCCACUGAACUAAAUGAAGGGAUUAAAUGAAAAGAUAAAAGAAAGGGCCGGCACUGUGGCUCACGCCUAUAAUCCCAGCACUUUGGGAGGCCGAGGUGGGUGGAUCACUUGAGGUCAGGAGUUUGAAGCCAGCCUAGCCAACAUGGUGAAACCCCAUCUCUACUAAAAAUACAAAAAUUAGCUAGGUGUGGUGGCACGCACUUGUAAUCCCAGCUACUGAGGAGGCUAAGGCGAGAGAAUUGCUUAAACCCAGGAAGUGGAAGUUACCGUGAGCCAAGAUCACACCACCUGCACUCCAGCCUGGGUGGCAGAGCGAGACCCUGUCUCAAAAAUUUUAAAAAUAAAAAAUAAAAAAAAAUUAGCUGGGCAUGGUGGCACAUGCCUGUAAUCCCAGCUACUCGCAAGGCUGAGGCAAGAGAAUCACUUGAAUCUGGAAGGUAGAGAUUGCAGUGAGCUGAGAUCGCACCAUUGCACUCCAGCCUGGGCGACAGAAUGAGACUCUGUCUCAAAAAAAAAAAGAGAAAGCAGAUGACAAUCUAGAAAUCUGAAGAUCUGUCAUGGAAAUUACUUCAUUCAUGCUAAUGUAAAAAAUAUUAGUGACUAAAUUAUUAAAAUUGAACACAUUCUCACUGUGCUUAAUUUUCUUUUUUUUUUUUUUUUUUUUUUUUGAGAUGGAGUUUCACUCCUGUUGCCCAGGCUGGAGUGCAAUGGCGUGAUCUAGGCUCACUGCAACCUCUGCCUCCCGGGUUGAAGCGAUUCUCCUGCCUCAGCCUCCCGAGUAGCUGGGAUUACAGGCAUGUGCCACCACACCCAGCUAAUUUUGUAUUUUUAGUAGAGACGGGGUUUCACCAUGUUGGUCAGGCUGGUCUCGUACUCCUAACCUCAUGUGAUCCACCCACCUCGGCCUCCAAAAGUGCUGGGAUUACAGGCGUGAGCCACUGUGCCCGGCCAAACAUUCUCUUCUAUAUCUGAUCUAUCUCCUGAAUCCAUCCCACCAGCAUUUAAAUACUUGUCUCUCCCCCAUCUUAAAACAUGCAUCCCUGGACCCCCUAUUGGUAACCUUGCCUACAAUCCUAUCCUAACAGUGUCUCCUUGCUCAGUGCGCAACAAGACCACCAGCGCAGCUACUGAGAAUCCUGGGAGUCUUCCCUCACAACAAAUCAUCACAUUCUUCUGUGAUAUGGCCUUAAAAUAUAAUCUCCCAAACAUGUCACCUCUCUCCACAUUCACUGCUACUUACCAUCCAGCAUUGCCCCUGUACUGUAUGUGUUAGUAAAAGCCUUGUAACUUUGUAGCCUCAUAUCCACUUUUCUCCUCUCCAAUCCACUCCCCACACUGUAGCCUGACUAGUCUCAUCUUAGGCAAGUACUGAACCAUGCUCCAUGUUUCCCAUAUGUGAAGUCCACUUUUUCUUCAAACAGAGCUCAUAGGAUUGUUGAGAAGAUCAAAUACUAGACAAAACCACUUAGCAACUGCAAAGCAUAAUAAAUGGUAGCUAUUAUUAGUUUAACAUCCAAACAUUUAAUACCAGUUGAACUACUGACAUUAGGAGAAGAAAUACUAUAAUAUUCAGGGACUCGAAGAGCCUGCAAAAUCUUGUUUAACCUGGCCUCCACCAACAUUUCAGUAUCAUUUUAGAUUUGACCCAGCAGCCUCACUCAAAGCUGUCACAAUGGGGGUCCCUUUGCCUGGAAUGCUCUCCCUGCUCCCACUUGGCCAACUAACUCCUGCUCAUCUUUCAAGUUCUGGCUGAAACCAUAAUUUAUCCAGAAAGCCUACCCUGAGUUUCCCACUGCCCAACCCCACAAACACUAGGUCUUCCAAACCUACUGUGCAACUUCCUGAUACGACACAUUUGUGGUUAUCUGUCCUAUGAUCUUCCUUCCCACGAGACUAUGAAUCCUGUGAAGAUCUUGUCUAUAAUUCCACCGAGUAGCACCAUGAAUGGAACAAUAUAGGUUUUCAAAUAUUUGAUAACCGACUUUAAUGACAUAACUGAAAAAAAGAUACCCUUUAAGUGCUAUACUUAAAGGUGCUUUAACAGCCACUGUGCCCAGCCCUUGGCCUAUUUUAUUAUAACAUUAGGAAACUUUAUAGUGAAGGAAAAAUAUUGACUUGCUUUCCCAUCUUAAAGACUGUAACUAAUUGAGCAGGAUCUCAAUUUUUCUCUAACUCAUUACCUUACAGUUGCCUAUACUUGUUAUUUACUAUUGAAUCACAGGAGAAUAGAUGCCUGUAGAUUUCCAUCUCCAAGAGUUUUACUAUAUAUACUACUUCCAUUAAAAGUUAAAUAAAAGGGCUGGGAGCAGUGGCUCAUUCCUGUAAUCCCAGCACUUUGGGAGGCUGAGGCGGGUGGAUCACCUGAGGUCAGGAGUUCGAGACUAGCCUGGCCAACAUGGCGAAACCCCGUCUCUACUAAAAAUAUAAAAAUUAGCUGGGCGUGGUCGCAGGCGCCUGUAAUUCCAGCUACUCAGGAGGGCUGAGGCAGGAGAAUAUCGCUUGAAACUGGGAGGUGGAGGUUGCAGUGAGCCGAGAUCGUGCCACUGCACUCCAGCCUGAGCAGCAAGAGCGAAAUUCUAUCUAAAAAAAAAAAAAAAAAAAAGAAAAGAAAAAAGAAAGUUAAGUAAAAGAUCAGGCCGGGCGCAGUGGCUCACACCUGUAACCCCAGCACUUUGGGAGGCCGAGGCAAGCGGAUCACGAGGUCAGGAGUUCGAGACCAACCUAGCCAACAUGGUGAAACCCCAUCUCUACUAAAGAUACAAAUAAUUAGCUGGGCAUGGUGGUACGCACCUGUAAUCCCAAAUACUCGGGAGGCUGAGACAGGCUAAUCACUUGAACCUGGGAGGCAGAGGCUGCAGUGAGCCGAGAUCGCGCCAUUGCACUCCAGGAUGGAUAACAGGGCGAGACUCCAUCUCAAAAAAAAAGAAGUAAAAUCAAAACUAAAAGUGUAAAUACCCAUAUAAGCAAAAGUUUAUUGUAUACAUCUUUAUGGGUAUUUUAU
rnacentral:lncRNA from 10 species